rnacentral:tRNA from 1 species
GAGGGUAUUGCUAAGUGGGAGAGCACAUGCUUAGCAUGCACAAGGUCCUGGGUUCAAUCCCCAGUACCUCCA